rnacentral:rRNA from 1 species
AGUCGAACGGUAACAUUUCUAGCUUGCUAGAAGAUGACGAGUGGCGGACGGGUGAGUAAUGCUUGGGAACUUGCCUUUGCGAGGGGGAUAACAGUUGGAAACGACUGCUAAUACCGCAUAAUGUCUUCGGACCAAACGGGGCUUCGGCUCCGGCGCAAAGAGAGGCCCAAGUGAGAUUAGCUAGUUGGUAAGGUAACGGCUUACCAAGGCGACGAUCUCUAGCUGUUCUGAGAGGAAGAUCAGCCACACUGGGACUGAGACACGGCCCAGACUCCUACGGGAGGCAGCAGUGGGGAAUAUUGCACAAUGGGGGAAACCCUGAUGCAGCCAUGCCGCGUGUGUGAAGAAGGCCUUCGGGUUGUAAAGCACUUUCAGUUGUGAGGAAAAGUUAGUAGUUAAUACCUGCUAGCCGUGACGUUAACAACAGAAGAAGCACCGGCUAACUCCGUGCCAGCAGCCGCGGUAAUACGGAGGGUGCGAGCGUUAAUCGGAAUUACUGGGCGUAAAGCGCACGCAGGCGGUUUGUUAAGCUAGAUGUGAAAGCCCCGGGCUCAACCUGGGAUGGUCAUUUAGAACUGGCAGACUAGAGUCUUGGAGAGGGGAGUGGAAUUCCAGGUGUAGCGGUGAAAUGCGUAGAUAUCUGGAGGAACAUCAGUGGCGAAGGCGACUCCCUGGCCAAAGACUGACGCUCAUGUGCGAAAGUGUGGGUAGCGAACAGGAUUAGAUACCCUGGUAGUCCACACCGUAAACGCUGUCUACUAGCUGUGUGUGUCUUUAAGACGUGCGUAGCGAAGCUAACGCGCUAAGUAGACCGCCUGGGGAGUACGGCCGCAAGGUUAAAACUCAAAUGAAUUGACGGGGGCCCGCACAAGCGGUGGAGCAUGUGGUUUAAUUCGAUGCAACGCGAAGAACCUUACCUACACUUGACAUGCAGAGAACUUUCUAGAAAUAGAUUGGUGCCUUCGGGAAUUCUGACACAGGUGCUGCAUGGCUGUCGUCAGCUCGGGUCGGGAAAUGUUGGGUUAAGUCCCGCAACGAGCGCAACCCUUGUCCUUAUUUGCCAGCCUUAA